ensembl:lncRNA
GCUUAUUUUAAUUGCCAUCCAUGCGUCUGGUGAAAUGUCCUGUAAAAUAAGUUACUGAAGGACAAAAAUUAAAUUUCACAAAAAUCAGAUGCUUAAAUUAACAAAAAUGAGAUUGAGAGAGGAAGAACAACUGAGAAACGACCUGCCACACACGAGAGGGCCGGGCUGACAGAGCCGACGCAGAGAGAGGCCGGGCAGCUGCCCGUGGCCCCAAGCUGAGUGGGGAGCGUGCGCCCACCACCUGGAGGCUGAGGCCGGGAGGCACCCAGGGCAGUCGGGUCAGCACAGGCAGGGGGUCCCUGCCCGGGAAGACACAGACCCCAUGCUUUGCCUGCAAAGGAGGCCAGCAGGCGGACGGGAGCUGAGGAACACCAGUGGGCAGGGUGGGAGGUCAGUGGCACGGUGUGAGCGGCGGGGGCGGGGAGACGGACAGAGGCAGGAGGCCGCCUGGAGGGGCGCAGGGCACGGGGUGGGGCAAGCUUCUGGCCUUCAGGUACUCGAGUGUCUGUUCUGUCCGUCGCCGCCUCCUCUGAAGACUUCCCUGCGGGUGCACGAGGCUGUCUGACGCUGUCCCCUGGCUCCCGACGCCCUUUCCCUUCCUCCUCUGUGUUUCCUGUUUUGGCGCCUUUUCACUGCUGUGCCUUGAGGGUCACGGAUCCCUUCCCCUGCAGGGUCUGCUGCCAUUGCCUGUCCCGCGCCUUUUCCGUGUCCGCGCCACCGUUCUUCACCUGCAGAAGUCUGCUUGCGGCUUUCCCAGCUACAGAGUUGUCGUCACUUUCCGAAAGAAGGGAGAGUGUUAUGGUGAUUGUUUCAAUGUCCUUUUCUGCUGGUUCUGACACCCAUGGAACUCCCGGGCCAGUCUUGCCUGAGCAGUCAAGACUGACUCUUCUCGCUUUGCCCUGAGCUCCUCCUUUGCAUGCCUGGUAAUCUUCAUGUGGACGCCGGACACCAUCAACUGUCCCCUGCGGCAUGUUGGGCACUUCUGUAUUCUUACAGAUCCUCUUGAACUCUGCAACGUAACUAACUUCUUGGAAGCAAUUUAGUCCCUUUGGGUCUUGUUUUUUGUUAGAUGGAUCUGGAAGUGUUAGUUGCUCAGUUAUAUCUGACUCUUUGCAACCCCACGGACUACAGUCCACCAGGCUCCUCUGUCCAUGGGGUUCUCCAGGGAAGAAUGCUGGAGUGCACUGCCAUCUCCUGCUUCAGGGAUCUCCCCGAGCCAGGGAUUGAACCUGGGUCUCCUGCAUAGACCGACGGGUUCUUUACCAUCUGAGCCAUGUGGGAAUCCCAGGCGGAUCUGGAGCAGACGGAUCUAAUUAUUCUCCAAAAUGGAGGAAGACUUCCCGAGUCCUCUUCUGCCCCAAACCUGUGCGCUGAGUUCUAGUCCAGUGGAUAGGAAUGGACAGCACCCGAGGCUCUGGGUGCCGACCCUUCUGGACGGUUCUGUGGCCAUUUACAGGAGCACUGAUCCGCACGUGGCUGGAUGUGCAGAGGCUAGGCUCUGGGGUUCCGUCCUCGGAGCCCCCUCCUCUCCAGGGCGCUCGGAGCCACGUCAGGACUCCAGGGUCCUGCUGGGCCCUGCCUCGGCUCCCCCUCCUCCCCGGUGCGGCGGCUGGCGGGAGUUGGGCAGUCCCAGACGCGUCUCAUUUCCCACUUCCCAGGGACCGCUGUCCAUGCUGUACCCGCCACCUCGUGCCCUCCGACUGCCACCUUCAGUGGUUCCAGGCAGAAGGGUCAGUGUGGCCCCUGCCCGUCUGUCUUGGCUGGAAGUGCACGUUUCCGACCAGUCUCCCCCCCCCCCCGUCCCCUCUUGUCUGAGGAGUGGUUGUCAACAACGCUGACUGUCAAGGAUUCUUCGAGGGAAUGUGUGUGAAGUGCCAUGACUUUGCCUCCGCGACCCUGGCCGGUCCUCACAAGCACGUACGUCUCCUUAGCCUCAUCUCCCUUCGGCAGCUGGCGCGUGAGGCUGGGUCUUUGCUGGCUCGGGGCCCGGGCAGGCGCUCUCAGGCCGUGCGCUGCGGCUCCCGUAGCCUGGCUUCGAGGCGCCCGUGCCCGAGGG